rnacentral:rRNA from 1 species
UACGAAGGGGGCUAGCGUUGCUCGGAAUUACUGGGCGUAAAGCGCACGUAGGCGGCUCUUUAAGUCGGAGGUGAAAUCCUGGAGCUCAACUCCAGAACUGCCUUCGAGUACUGGAAGAGCUCGAAUCCGGGAGAGGUGAGUGGAACGUAGCGAGUGUAGAGGUGAAAUUCGAUAGAUAUUCGCAAGAACACCAGUCGGCGAAGG